rnacentral:miRNA from 1 species
GAGGUCGACAUUCGACGUCAUAAACACGAUCAACUUUGGUGUUUAUGACGUCGAUAUUCGACGUCAUAAACACGAUCAACUUUGGUGUUUAUGACGUCGAUAUUCGACGUCAUAAACACCAUCAACUUUGGUGUUUAUGACGUCGAUAUUCGACGUCAUAAACACGAUCAACUUUGGUGUUUAUGACGUCGAUAUUCGACGUC